rnacentral:lncRNA from 1 species
GGAAUUUCAACUUCUGAGAAGUUGAAGUAUGUACUUUUCACUAUUCUUCCCACUAGGAACAAUUAAAACCCCUGCAAAUUACAUAUGAAACAAGUUUAAGAGGACUUUGAGAGAUGAAGAAAAGCAGGCAGACCAGCCAGGGACCUUGCAGCCUGAAGAAGGACAGGAAGGGCACGAGAGCCUCUUCACAUGCCCAGGGACAUGGUGAAGUCAGAGGGCACUGAUAAUGGGACCUCUCCACACCCCUUCCUACCUAGAGUCACCAAGCAGCCUGAUCAGGGGAAAUGCAUUCUACCUUCCCAGGCAGUAUCAGCAGUACCAGCAAGAGCAUCGGCAGCACCAGAUAAACCAAGCAGACCAAAGUAACAUUGCAAAUAGUAAAAAUAAACCUGCCAUUGGAAAUACAUCAGAGCAAAGCAGGCCAAUACCUACAUACUAACCUAAAAGGUGUGACUUCUCCCCAAAAUAAAAUGUUUAAAUAGGAUCCAGAGUCUCUAAACAUAAUCAAAAACAUGUCUAGGACACAAUAAGCAAUCACUUAUGAUAUCUAGUAAUCAAAAACAUUACAGUUUAAAUGAGAAAAGGAAAUCAACUAACACAAGAAGACAAAUCAGAUAUUGGAAUUAUCUGACCACAACUUUAAAGCAGUCAUCAUAAAAAUGCUUCAAAAUUCAAUUGCAUGUUUUCUUGAAAUAAAUGAAAAAAUUAGAAAACCUUAACAGAAAAAUAGAAGUGAUAAAAAAUAAACUAAUGAACAAGUCUUUCUUCUCCUUGGUUAAGUUUAUUCCUAAGUAUAUUGUUCUUUUUGAUGCUAUUGUAAAUGGAAUUUUUAAUAUCUCAUUUUCUGGUACUUCAUUGUUAGCAUAUAAAAAUACAACUGACUUUGUAUGUUUAUUUUGCAUCCUGAAAAUUUACUAAAUUUGUUUAUUCUAAGUUUUUUGUGGAGUUUUAAGGAUUUUUACUAUAUGUUUAUGUCAUCUGCAAACAGAUAAUUUUGUUGCUUUCUUU